GUGGCUCAUUCACCGACUUAUGUCAGCCCCUUCGGGACGUGCUACAUAAAAUACGAAUGACGCACAACAAGGUGCCUGCCGUCCAACUUCUGAUAUCAGCGUAGCUAUAUCAACCAUCGGGCGAAACGUCGAGUUAGGCACCGCCUUAUUCCAUAACAAAGCCGGGUAAUUCCCGGCUUUGUUGU
rnacentral:sRNA from 1 species